CAGUAGCCGCGGGAAUACGAAGGGGGCUAGCGUUGUUCGGAAUUACUGGGCGUAAAGCGCACGUAGGCGGAUCGAUCAGUCAGGGGUGAAAUCCCAGGGCUCAACCCUGGAACUGCCUUUGAUACUGUCGAUCUGGAGUAUGGAAGAGGUGAGUGGAAUUCCGAGUGUAGAGGUGAAAUUCGUAGAUAUUCGGAGGAACACCAGUGGCGAAGGCGGCUCACUGGUCCAUUACUGACGCUGAGGUGCGAAAGCGUGGGGAGCAAACAGGAUUAGAUACCCCGUAGUCCCUGUCUCUUAUACC
rnacentral:rRNA from 1 species